AGAGUUUGAUCAUGGCUCAGAACGUACGCUGGCGGCACGCUUAACACAUGCAAGUCGAACGAAGUAGCAAUACUUAGUGGCAGACGGGUGAGUAACAUGUGGGUAUCUGCCCUUUGGCCUGGAAUAACACGAGGAAACUUGUGCUAAUACCGGAUAAGUCUUUACGGAGAAAGCUUUAUGCACCAUUGGAUGAGCCCGCACUUGAUUAGUUUGUUGGUGGGGUAAUGGCCUACCAAGACUGUGAUCAAUAGCUGAUUUGAGAGGAUGAUCAGCCACAUUGGGACUGAGACACGGCCCAAACUCCUACGGGAGGCAGCAGUGGGGAAUCUUGCACAAUGGAGGAAACUCUGAUGCAGCGAUGCCGCGUGAGUGAAGAAGGCCCUUGGGUUGUAAAGCUCUUUCGUCGGGGAAGAAAAUGACUGUACCCGAAUAAGAAGGUCCGGCUAACUUCGUGCCAGCAGCCGCGGUAAUACGAAGGGACCUAGCGUAGUUCGGAAUUACUGGGCUUAAAGAGUUCGUAGGUGGUUGAAAAAGUUAGUGGUGAAAUCCCAGAGCUUAACUCUGGAACUGCCAUUAAAACUUUUCAGCUA
rnacentral:rRNA from 1 species